rnacentral:rRNA from 1 species
UACAGAGGUGGCAAGCGUUGUUCGGAAUUAUUGGGCGUAAAGAGCACGUAGGCGGCCCUACAAGUCAGCUGUGAAAUCCUUCUGCUCAACGGAAGAACGGCAGUUGAUACUAUAGGGCUUGAGUGCGGGAGGGGAGAGUGGAACUUCUGGUGGAGCGGUGAAAUGCGUAGAUAUCAGAAGGAACAUCGGCGGCGAAAGCGACUCUCUGGCCCGUAACUGACGCUGAGGUGCGAAAGCUAGGGGAGCAAAC